CUGAAGUUAGUGAAAAAGGAAUCAACUCGUUAUCGCUGUCUGAAACAGGUCCUUGGUCGUGCUUUGGGUGUGUGCAAGAACAGCACGUUUUGGUGCUAAAAAUGACAGUGUGAAGCCUAAGCGAGCCAGGACAAAAGGAGGAUGAGUUUCUGCUGUGCUCAUUGGGUUGAAUUUCGGUCUUGUGCGUUUGACCUCACCUUGAUGAACACUUGGACCUGGAGGCAGCAAAAAGAAUAAAAAAUGUUGGUUAAAGAAAGGGUAGAUUGGACAUGAGAAGAUCUAUAACAUGCAUUUAGAAAAUAGAAAAAGUGAGUUUUCAUUUAAUUUCAAGUACAUGAUUGUCUUUUUAAUGUGAGUGUUUAAUAUUUGUUGCUAGAAAAGUCCUAAAUCAUACGUUUAAUCAUGUUGCAAAUUUUUGUAACAGAAACAAUAGGUAAUAACAUUGGUCCACCUUUAUGUCUACAUGGGGUGCAGCAUAUG